AAUAUUAAGAAGAGAAAAACCAUACAAGAAAACCAAAAAGAAAGAACAUAAUAAAAGCAAUAUUUCACUUUAGGAAUCACUUGUACAUUUCUAUCACUCUUUCCUGUCCUUU
rnacentral:ribozyme from 1 species